UACAGAGGCCUCGAGCGUUAGGCGGAAUCACUGGGCUUAAAGCGUGUGUAGGUGGAUGCCUAAGUGCCUUGUGAAAUCCCAUGGCUUAACCAUGGAAUUGCUGGGCAUACUGGGCGUCUUGAGCCACUCAGGGGCUACCGGAACAAACGGUGGAGCGGUGAAAUGCGUAGAUAUCGUUUGGAACGCCAAUGGUGAAAAACAG
rnacentral:rRNA from 1 species